CUAGCCGUCGCGUCUUAACGCGCAGCCCUGAAGGCCCCACACCUUGUGGAUCUUGCCGUGGGUAUGUUUCUGGCAUGUGUUUCUCAAGCCUGCAACCGAAGCCGAACAGCCACAUGAACAGUUUGAGCGUGGUAGCGCUGUGUGAGUUGGCGGUGGAUCCCCCUCGUGGUAACACGAGCCCCCGUGGCCAAAAGCCCAGUGUUUACAGCACCUCUCACAUCCAGGACGACCCCAUCCUGGCGCUCACUCUUAGUAGUAUGGCUUAGUACGCAUUAGGUGGUAAGCCGAGCUCUCCCUCGGCCUUGUUCUGAAUGCACACAUGUCUAGGGGCUAAGGAUGUCCUACAGGUACCCGCACGUAACCUUCAGAGAGUGCGGAUCUGAGUAGGAGACCGUGGUGCACUGCUUUACAGAUGCAGCCCGGUUUAAAAAGCGUCUAUGCCCCUACAGGGUAGCGGUGGGCCGCGCCCUUUCCUUUUAAAACUACUUGUUC
rnacentral:other from 1 species